CAAAGAGUGCGUAACAGCUCACUGGUCGAGCGGCAGAGCAUCGAUAAUAAUCGGGCAUCAAGUACAAUACCGAAGCUUAGGAUCAUUUAUGAUGGUAGGGGAGCAUUCUCUAGUCGAUGAAGGUGAAACGUGAGUUUUGCUGGAGAGUAGAGAAGAGCAAAUGUAGGCAUAAGUAACGAGAAGGCGGGCGAGAAACCCGCCCACCGGAAGACCAAG
rnacentral:rRNA from 1 species